rnacentral:rRNA from 1 species
GGACGAACGCUGGCGGCGUGCUUAACACAUGCAAGUCGAACGGAAAGGCCCUGCUUGCAGGUACUCGAGUGGCGAACGGGUGAGUAACACGUGGGUGAUCUGCCCUGCACUUCGGGAUAAGCUUGGGAAACUGGGUCUAAUACCGGAUAGGAACCAUCUUUAGUGUGGUGGUUGGAAAGUUUUUUCGGUGUAGGAUGAGCUCGCGGCCUAUCAGCUUGUUGGUGGGGUAAUGGCCUACCAAGGCGGCGACGGGUAGCCGGCCUGAGAGGGUGUACGGCCACAUUGGGACUGAGAUACGGCCCAGACUCCUACGGGAGGCAGCAGUGGGGAAUAUUGCACAAUGGGCGCAAGCCUGAUGCAGCGACGCCGCGUGGGGGAUGAAGGCCUUCGGGUUGUAAACUCCUUUCGCUAGGGACGAAGCUUUUUGUGACGGUACCUAGAUAAGAAGCACCGGCUAACUACGUGCCAGCAGCCGCGGUAAUACGUAGGGUGCGAGCGUUGUCCGGAAUUACUGGGCGUAAAGGGCUCGUAGGUGGUUUGUCGCGUCGUCUGUGAAAUUCUGGGGCUUAACUCCGGGCGUGCAGGCGAUACGGGCAUAACUUGAGU